rnacentral:rRNA from 1 species
UACGGGGGGGGCAAGCGUUGUUCGGAAUUACUGGGCGUAAAGGGUUCGUAGGUGGCCUGCUAAGUCAGACGUGAAAUCCCUCAGCUUAACUGGGGAACUGCGUCUGAUACUGGUGGGCUUGAGUGCAGGAGAGGAACGCGGAAUUCCAGGUGUAGCGGUGAAACGCGUAGAUAUCUGGAGGAACACCGGUGGCGAAGGCGGCGUUCUGGACUGCUACUGACACUGAUGAACGAAAGCCAGGGGAGCAAACGGG